UAUAUUGAAUGCUUUAGAAAGAAAUUGGGCCCUGUCUCAGCAAGGCAGUUUUUUGCAACAGUCUGAAAGGAUAAGAAAAGGAAAAAUGUUAUUUCCUCUCGUUUCCUCAUCAGUUGCUCCUUAUUUGAAGAAACCUCCUCAGUGGAAAACGGACUGUGGCUGACGACGCCUGUCAUCUGUGCUGUCGCUGGAGGGCAGAACGCUGGUGCCCGGCAUUGUCAGGCCCUGAGUUUACCUGCAAGUGGGCACGUAUUGCCCUCCCCGGGCCUCACCAGACUCCGCUGGCUCCUGAAAACUCUCCAGCCUGACUCUGCUUUUUCUCAUUUUGUUUAUUCUUUCAAAAUAUACAGUAUACUCCUUUCAGGCAGGUGCAAGAAUUUCUGUAAUAAUUCAUGUUCUCAUUUUCAGGAGCUAUGGAGUUGGUUUCAGCCCAGUCGAGAGGGAUAUGUGACAAGCGGGUGACGUCCACUGAUAAUAAACACAUGUUGAAAGUCCUGUUUUUCGACCUU
rnacentral:lncRNA from 1 species